GCUGCAUAAACCUGAUUCAGUACCACAAGAGGGAAACAUAAUAGUUCUGCUAGGUGCGCACGAAUGGAUUUGAGUUCUGCAAUUUCUUCGGACUUGCUCGAAGUGACGAAUCAGCGGUUACGACACAGUGCCUGGGCACGCAAAGUCCGAACGUGAAGCUCGCGGAAUCUGCUGCAGGAGGAAGGACGCCAGGGUUUCUUGGGCAACUGCAGUCAUGGCGGCCUCUGCGCCCAGUGCCGGUGGCUCCGAGCCUGAGGCGGCGGGUUCCACCGAAGCUCAGCUGCAGUACAGCCUUCUUCUCCAGUACUUGGUGGGUGACAAGCGUCAGCCCCGGGUCCUGGAGCCUGGAAGCCUGGGCGGGAUCCCGAGUCCAGUCAAGAGCGAUGAACAGAAGAUGAUCGAGAAGGCGAUGGAAAGUUGCGCCUUCAAGGCAGCGCUAGCCUGCGUGGGAGGAUUUGUCUUGGGCGGUGCAUUUGGGGUGUUCACUGCCGGCAUCGACACCAAUGUGGGCUUUGACCCCAAGGACCCUUACCGCACUCCGACGGCAAGAGAAGUUCUUAAAGACAUGGGGCAGAGAGGAAUGUCCUACGCCAAAAAUUUUGCCAUUGUGGGCGCCAUGUUUUCUUGCACUGAGUGUUUGGUAGAAUCUUACCGGGGAAGGUCCGACUGGAGGAACAGUGUCAUCAGCGGCUGCAUUACCGGAGGAGCCAUCGGUUUCAGAGGUCAGUAAACACCCUGCAGUGGUUCUCCCUGUGGCCUUGGACAGCAGGCUGGAGUUGACAUUUCUGAACAUAGGAGUGUUCCAGGGACAGCCCCAGCUGGCUUAAAGGCUGGGGUCAUUGGGUGCGGAGGCUUCGCGGCUUUCUCCGCUGCAAUCGAUUACUAUCUGCGGUGAGAGUGACGGCCUGCCUGGAAGGACAGCCCCAGCCCAGGGUCAGAGCUGCUCUGAGGGGGGCAUUUUCUGUACCACCCGGGCACUCGCUUCCCACGCUGAAGACAUUGAUUUUCCCCCCAGUGGCUGAUGUCGUGAGGGUGCCGCCUGGCCGCUGUGUGCCUCCAGCCUCUGAGCAGCCACGCUCCCUGCUCCUGGACUCCAGCCAGGCCGUGCGGGGACGUGCCGUCCAGCCUCUCUCUUUCCGGCAGCUUAGGAGUCAGCGUGUCGACUUGUAGAAACUAAGCUCCACAGAGACUCAGUCCUGACCACCCCGGCCCUCCCGUUGUUUGGUGCCGUGGGAGCAGGAGGGACUUCACAUGGACGCAGGAAGCUGUUCCACCUGGGAACGCCACGCGGUCACCAUCCCACGGGUCGGGGCCGGGCCAAGUGACCUUACGCCUUCCGGCCAAUUAUGUCAUUGUGUUUAGUAUUCUGCUAUCCUUGUUAAAAAUAUGUAUUUAUAUUACAGUUUAAAUGGUUUAUUUUUACUUUCAAUUUUAUAAUUCCCCCAAAAUGGUGCCAGGUAGCCCAAAGACUAAACCUCCAAAGGAGAGAAAUUGAGAAAGCUCCUGAGGAGCGUGGGGUUGUUGGGUUCUCAGGGCUUGUGCAGUGGUGCUGCCUUCACGGAGCCUGAGACGCUGGCCAGGGCUUCCCGCCCAAGAAGCUGAGCCUCGCUCCGUCCUAGGACACACUGCAACCCAUGUGUAAGUCCUGCUGGCCUCCUCCAAAAACUCUCCUGUGGGCUGGCCUGAACCUCCCGCUGCCGUAAGGCUUUGAGCACUGGAUUAGGCCCAGCUCAGGACAGCAUGUGAUGGUCCGGCUGUCAUCACCCUGAUGGCUGAGUGACAGUGGGCACUGGAUAAAAUCCGAUGCUGCUGAGCGGCUGCUCACCUCCACCUUCG